rnacentral:rRNA from 1 species
GACGAACGCUGGCGGCGUGCUUAACACAUGCAAGUCGAACGGAAAGGCCCUGCUUUUGUGGGGUGCUCGAGUGGCGAACGGGUGAGUAACACGUGAGUAACCUGCCCUUGACUUUGGGAUAACUUCAGGAAACUGGGGCUAAUACCGGAUAGGAGCUCCUGCUGCAUGGUGGGGGUUGGAAAGUUUCGGCGGUUGGGGAUGGACUCGCGGCUUAUCAGCUUGUUGGUGGGGUAGUGGCUUACCAAGGCUUUGACGGGUAGCCGGCCUGAGAGGGUGACCGGCCACAUUGGGAAUGGGAUACGGCCCAGACUCCUACGGGGGGCAACAGUGGGGAAUAUUGCAACAUGGGCGGAAGCCUGAUGCAGCAACGCCGCGUGCGGGAAGGCGGCCUUCGGGUUGUAAACCGCUUUCGCCUGUGACGGAGCGUGAGUGACGGUAAUGGGUAAAGAAGCACCGGCUAACUACGUG